rnacentral:rRNA from 1 species
GCGACCCCAGGAUGGGCGAGACCACCCGCCGAGUUUAAGCAUAUCAAUAAGCGGAGGAGAAGAAAC